AUGAUUCACCGGCGGGAAGCGCCUGGGCCGCGGGGUGUGGCCUCCGUCUCUCCCGGCCUGCCUGGCGCCUGGCCCCGGACGCGGCCAGCCGGGGACCUGCACAACGCCAGCCCGACCGUGGAGGACUGCGGGGCCGCUGCUGCCACCUUCGGACGGUUCCCGGGAUGGCGCGACCCGGUGGCAGGGGACACUCUCUUAAUUGGGCCAUCCUGCAGCCUGGCCCUGCCCCGUUGCGGUCAUGGGCUGCUUCUGAGGCAGAGAUUCACGAUUGUGAAGCAGAUGAGUAUCCUGCUUCACAGGAUAAUGGGUUUAAUGGAGAUAGAGAGAAGGCCACCAAAGUGCAGGUCAUCAAAAACAACCCGAAGGAGGCCUCUGAAACCAUUGUUGCCUCCAUGAGCAGCCCGGUGCCCCCUUCAAAGCUGGCCAAACCUGAGAACCAGUGGGCACCCUCUGAGCUGAAUGUGUAGAACUCUGACUUCCCACGUGAAUUCUACCAGCACGCCAAGGCCCUGUGGGAGGUGGAGGGAUUGCAUGCCUCCGGAUUGAGCCCAGUGCUUCCUGGACAGGGUCAGUGUGAUCGAGCAGCCUGACUAUGUGCCAAGUGACCAGGACCUGCUUCUCUGCCGAAUGCUGACCUCUGGAAUCUUUGAGACCAAGUUCCAGGUGGACAAAGUUAACUUCUACUUCUUGGAAGUGGGCAGCACCAUGAACGCGGCCGUGAUGUGACUGCCGACAUCUUGGACCACGAGGGAGGAUAACACAGACCAUACGCCCGCAGGAGGCUCUGAACCUCUUCAAGAGCAUCACAGAUGGCUGCACACUGCCUCUUCGAUCCUCUUCCUUAACAAGCAAGACCUGCUUGCUGAGAAAGUCCUCACCGGGAAAUCCAAGAUCGAGGACUACUUUGAGUUCGCCCUCCACACUCUUCUUGAGGAUGUGACUCCCCAACCUGGAGAGGACCUACGACCUCCUUGGGUUAGCAGCUACUUCAUCCGGGAUGAGUUUCUGAGAAUUAGCGUUGCUAGUGGAGAUGGGCACUACUACUGCGACCCUUACUUUACCUGUGCCCUGGACACUGAGAACAUCUUCAGUGACUGCCAUGACAUCAUCCAGUUCAUGCAUCUCUGCCAAUAGGAGCUGCUCUAAGAAGGGAACACACAAAUUUAAUUCAGCCUUAAGCACAAUUAACUAAGA